UACGUAGGGGGCUAGCGUUGUCCGGAAUCAUUGGGCGUAAAGAGCGCGUAGGCGGCCAGAUAAGUCCGGUGUGAAAGUCAAAGGCUCAACCUUUGAAUGCCGCUGGAAACUGUCUGGCUAGAGUCCGGGAGGGGCGAGUGGAAUUCCUGGUGUAGCGGUGGAAUGCGCAGAUAUCAGGAGGAACACCGAUGGCGAAGGCAGGUCACUGGGCCGCAACUGACGCUGAGGAGCGAAGACAUGGGGAGCGAACAGG
rnacentral:rRNA from 1 species